rnacentral:rRNA from 1 species
CAAUGGGACAGUGGCGAACGGCGGAGUAAUACUUGAACAACGUGCCCUGAAGACCGGGAUAGUCAGUGGAAACGCUGGGUAAUACCGGAUGUGGCCGUCUUGUGGCAUCACAGGACGAUUAAAUGGUUUUUCGCUUCAGGAGCGGUUCAUGGCCUAUCAGGUAGUUGGUGAGGUAACGGCUCACCAAGCCGACGACGGGUAGCGGGUCUGAGAGGACGAUCCGCUCGAGUGGGACUGAGACACGGCCCACACACCUACGGGUGGCAGCAGUUGGGAAUCUUGCACAAUGGGGGAAACCCUGAUGCAGCGACGCCGCGUGGAGGACGAAGGAUCUAGGUCUGUAAACUCCUUUUUCACGGAAAGACUUAGGACGGUACCGUGAGAAUAAGCUCCGGCUAACUACGUGCCAGCAGCCGCGGUAAGACGUAGGGAGCGAGCGUUGUCCGGAUUUACUGGGCGUAAAGAGCGCGUAGGCGGCUCGUUAAGUAUGAAGUGAAAUCUCCAGGGCUCAACCCGGAAACUGCUUCGUAGACUGGCGAGCUUGAGGAAUGCAGAGGUAAGUGGAAUUCCUGGUGUAGCGGUGAAAUGCGUAGAUAUCAGGAGGAACACCGACGGCGAAGGCAGCUUACUGGGCAUUAUCUGACGCUGAGGCGCGAAAGCGUGGGUAGCAAACAGGAUUAGACACCCUGGUAGUCCACGCCCUAAACGAUGGAUACUAGACGUAAGAGGUAUCGACCCCUCUUGUGUCGCAGCUAACGCACUAAGUAUCCCGCCUGGGGAGUACGGCCGCAAGGUUGAAACUC